rnacentral:piRNA from 1 species
UACUCAGGCUACCUGGUUCUAUGAAUUCC